GCCUAAAUAGCUCUUGUUGGGAGAGUGUUACUGUAAAUCGAAAAGUCCCUGGUUCGAUCCCGAGUUUCGAGU
rnacentral:tRNA from 1 species